CCCUUAGAUGUUCUGGGCCGCACGCGUGCUACACUGAGUGGAUCAGCGGGUCAGGUUGCGCGAAAGCGUUUCCUAAUCUUUAAAUCCGCUCGUGAUGGGGAUUGACGGUUGCAAUUUUCUGUCAUGAACGAGGAAUACCUUGUAAGCGCGGAUCAUCAUCCCGCGCUGUAUACGUCCCUGCCCUUUGUACACACCGCCCGUCGCUCCUACCGAUUGAGUGGUCCGGUGAGGCCUCGGGAUUGUGACGAGUUCCCUUCAUUGGGAGUUGGUCGCGAGAACUUGUCUAAACCUUAUCAUUUAGAGGAAGGUGAAGUCGUAACA
rnacentral:rRNA from 1 species